rnacentral:lncRNA from 1 species
GUAGAUCUUGAAUCCGUAGAGUUGCAGGCAAAGCCCAAAAUUCAGGCUUAGACUCUCAGACCGCUCAGAGAAACCACAGGCUCACAGGCAGAUCCCUUGAGGCCACAGUAGCUGGCCAGAAAACACCGCCAUCAGCUAAACUGUAUUCAUCUGGAGUUCCGCGGAGCGGAAGGACUUGCAGCCUUCCCUUUCCCCAGCCAGGGCUAGGGAGUUAGACAAUGGAAGUCCAGCACUAGGCAAAGCAGGCAUUAUGCGCGGGGGGAAGAGCUUUGAGCUCACUGUAGUCUCAGAGAGGGAAGUGAUGGAAAAAGAAUAUAGCAGCUUAUUAGGGACUCCCACCCUCUUCAAGUUAUAAAUAUCCCCAGAACCUUGGCUACUUGCCCGGAGGCCUGUUGUCUCCUAACUGUACAGGAGAUUUCUCUGCCUAGGCUGGGAAAGGGGCUUUUCUUUUGUUUUACAGACCCAUCCACCCACUGAAGGGCUUGGAUUAAAAAAAGAAAACAAAACCAUGAUUCUGGGCAAUGCUUUUAUUAGACUGCCUGGGCAAGAUGGCUCUCCAAGCCCAGCUUGGCUGCUUGCCUCUUUCUAUGAUGAAGGCCUACCAUGGGCAGAGGCAGCAGUAAGCGUAUCACUGGGGAAUGGGGCCAGAGAGCCAUUUGGCCAGGAUCUCCAAUUU